rnacentral:rRNA from 1 species
AUUGAACGCUGGCGGCAGGCUUAACACAUGCAAGUCGAGCGGAGAGAGGUAGCUUGCUACUGAUCUUAGCGGCGGACGGGUGAGUAAUGCUUAGGAAUCUGCCUAUUAGUGGGGGACAACAUUUCGAAAGGAAUGCUAAUACCGCAUACGUCCUACGGGAGGAAGCAGGGGAUCUUCGGACCUUGCGCUAAUAGAUGAGCCUAAGUCGGAUUAGCUAGUUGGUGGGGUAAAGGCCUACCAAGGCGACGAUCUGUAGCGGGUCUGAGAGGAUGAUCCGCCACACUGGGACUGAGACACGGCCCAGACUCCUACGGGAGGCAGCAGUGGGGAAUAUUGGACAAUGGGCGCAAGCCUGAUCCAGCCAUGCCGCGUGUGUGAAGAAGGCCUUAUGGUUGUAAAGCACUUUAAGCGAGGAGGAGGCUACUUUAGUUAAUACCUAGAGAUAGUGGACGUUACUCGCAGAAUAAGCACCGGCUAACUCUGUGCCAGCAGCCGCGGUAAUACAGAGGGUGCAAGCGUUAAUCGGAUUUACUGGGCGUAAAACGCGCGUAGGCGGCUAAUUAAGUCAAAUGUGAAAUCCCCGAGCUUAACUUGGGAAUUGCAUUCGAUACUGGUUAGCUAGAGUGUGGGAGAGGAUGGUAGAAUUCCAGGUGUAGCGGUGAAAUGCGUAGAGAUCUGGAGGAAUACCGAUGGCGAAGGCAGCCAUCUGGCCUAACACUGACGCUGAGGUGCGAAAGCAUGGGGAGCAAACAGGAUUAGAUACCCUGGUAGUCCAUGCCGUAAACGAUGUCUACUAGCCGUUGGGGCCUUUGAGGCUUUAGUGGCGCAGCUAACGCGAUAAGUAGACCGCCUGGGGAGUACGGUCGCAAGACUAAAACUCAAAUGAAUUGACGGGGGCCCGCACAAGCGGUGGAGCAUGUGGUUUAAUUCGAUGCAACGCGAAGAACCUUACCUGGCCUUGACAUAGUAAGAACUUUCCAGAGAUGGAUUGGUGCCUUCGGGAACUUACAUACAGGUGCUGCAUGGCUGUCGUCAGCUCGUGUCGUGAGAUGUUGGGUUAAGUCCCGCAACGAGCGCAACCCUUUUCCUUAUUUGCCAGCGAGUAAUGUCGGGAACUUUAAGGAUACUGCCAGUGACAAACUGGAGGAAGGCGGGGACGACGUCAAGUCAUCAUGGCCCUUACGGCCAGGGCUACACACGUGCUACAAUGGUCGGUACAAAGGGUUGCUACCUAGCGAUAGGAUGCUAAUCUCAAAAAGCCGAUCGUAGUCCGGAUUGGAGUCUGCAACUCGACUCCAUGAAGUCGGAAUCGCUAGUAAUCGCGGAUCAGAAUGCCGCGGUGAAUACGUUCCCGGGCCU